GCUGCUGUAGCUCAGUUGGUAGAGCAACUGAUUCGUAAUCAGUAGGUCGCCAGUUCGAAUCCGGCCAGCAGCACCA
rnacentral:tRNA from 1 species